UGUGCCACACCUAUCAUGCUCCUACAGUUACAUGAGUUGGCACUAAGCCUGCUCCUCAAUUAUGUAAGCCUAGUUUACUCCUGCAGUUGAUAGUAGGCAACAAAUAAUACAGUAUCUUCUAUUCCUGUUUCUCAUCCCUUUUCCUGCGGCGUGGGUUUUUGCUCUCCCCGGCUGCACGCGGCUCUUGGGAGCCCGGCUGUGGCGUAGCUUCCACGUGCUGCCGGGGUUUGCUGCCGCGGGUUCCCGGACACGGCUCCGUGUCUCGGGCGCGUGGGCUGACCAGUCUCUGUUGCCGUGCGCUAGGGACCCGGCAAAGAGGAAGGAAUUUGUCCAUUUACUCCGUGCUUGGCAGGAACGGUUUAUUGGUCACGUGGCGCGGAUCGAUGGAAAGACGCGACCGCUCCCGGCACUCGCAUGGGAGCAAAUGGCGCCUGACUGCCGGCGGGAUAGGGCUUUAUAGAGGGGCGGGGCGAGAGGAUCCACGGCCUGCCGGCCAAUAGGGGCGGCUGCCUUGGCGGUGACGUCAGCAACAGCGACCAACCAGAGAACCCCGCAGGGGCGGGCACCGAGCCAGAGCGGGCUGAGCGGGACCGUGUGGCUCGGGGCGGCCAGCACGGGGUUUCCCGGGGCCGGACGGCAGGGUGGUUACAGGAGCGGCACAGGGAAUUCAUUGGAACAGCAUUUAGAAAAUCAGCAAUCCUCCAAUUUUUGCUAGCAGCCCAUCAAAAGCCUAAUCAGCUUAUAGUGUUGGCAGCUGAGGAUUCAGAGUCCAUCCUUAUGGAGCCGUGCAACACCACCAGAAUAUUCUCACCUGGAUAUUCUCCCCAGUUUCUAUGGCAGAAGACCAGGACCCAUGAACUCUUAGGACAACAGGAUGCCCUUCUCCAAUCUCACCUCAACAGGCAUUUACAGCAGUAACAAUUGUAUUUUAUAAAUGCUGAUGUGCUUGGCCAGGACAAGCACAGUUUAAAAAAAAAAAAAUAAAAAGAAUUGGUAGCAUGAGACUCUAUACAAGUGAAGUUAUCAAAACCUGGAUUUAUACUGAUCAACGUCUUGCUCUCGCACCACGUUACAGAAAAAUAGUGCAACCAAGUUUUACAAAAUGAAACACUUAAUGUUUCAUAAGCCUGCAUUAGCACAUCACCAAAUUCCCACAAGUAUUGCAAUUACUGAAAGCAAAGACCCAGAUUUUAAAUGUUUAAACUGCUAAAAGGCAUAGGAUGAACCAUAGCUCUCAGGGUUCACCAAAUUUACCACUUAAAAAAUCUUGCACAGUACUCUUUUUUGACAUUAUUCACUUUACCCUUUUAUUCCCAUGAAUAAUUUAAUUUGUUCUUCUCCUUCUACAAAUAAAGUCUUAAUACCUUGG